rnacentral:rRNA from 1 species
UACAGAGGGUGCGAGCGUUGUCCGGAAUCACUGGGCGUAAAGGGCGCGUAGGCGGCCUGGUAAGUAGGGGGUGAAAUCCUGCGGCUUAACCGCAGGGCUGCCUUCUAAACUGUCAGGCUCGAGCACAGUAGAGGCAGGUGGAAUUCCCGGUGUAGCGGUGGAAUGCGUAGAGAUCGGGAAGAACAUCAGUGGCGAAGGCGGCCUGCUGGGCUGUUGCUGACGCUGAGGCGCGACAGCGUGGGGAGCAAACAGG